ACGAAACAAACGAAACAAAUGAAAACACCUGUGAAAGUACAAAACUUUUAUUUACCUCUUUAAUAAAAAACUGCAUUGAAAGAGGUUAUAAAGAUAAACUUGUUCAUUGUGCAUCUUUUAAUUUGGAAAAAAAAAUAAUUACUAAUGGACAAGUUUUUUGUGAAAGUUCUUUUGAAAGAAAAUUUGUUGAAAAUAACAAAAAAAAUAGUCGUAAAAAUGGCCAAGAGUAUAAUUACGACAUAUAUAAAAAUAAAAUAAUAAAAACUUUUAAUUUUGAAAAGGAACAGUAUAAUGAUUGUAUUAAUAUGGUAAAUAUUUAUAACAACUGUUCAAUUGUAGAGAGUAGACUAAUUAGUUUUAAAACUGAAAAUAAGGAUAGCAGUAGUAAUGGCGUUGAUAAUACCGACUUUUGUUUAAUCCAAAGAAAUGACCAUUUUUGUAAUAAUAUAAUUAAAAAAGAGAGUAACAAAAACUAUAUUAACACCUGCUCUGAUAUUAUUUUACCAUAUUUAUUGUCAGAGAAAAGUAAAAAAAGCAACAACAAAAACAAGAAUGUUAACAAAGACAGUAACGAAUACAAUGAAUUAUGUCAUAAUAUAAAUAACUAUUUAAGUAUAUUAAAAGUAAAAAAAAAUAAUUAUUUAAAAGAAAAAAAAAUAAAUAAAGAUAAUAAAAAAAAUAUAAAAUUAAAUUUAAAAUUAUAUCAAAUAGUUGAACAUACUUUUAAAACCUUAAAUAAAAAAACUAAAAAAUAUUAUUUACAAAUUAAUAAUAUGUUUACCAAAUUAGAUAAAUUGAAAAAUAAUAAAUUAAUUUUAUCAAAUUUUUAUAUGGUCAUAUUAAAUAAAAUAUAUAAACAAAUUAUUUAUUUAGAAAAAAUUAUAACGUCAUUAACUUACUCCCUUAAAACUGAAAACACAAUCGAAAAAAACAUUUCUAUUGUUAAUCAAUUAAAAAAAAAAGUAGAAAUAAAAAAAAAAAAAAAAAAAAAAAAAAAAAAGACCGAAGAAACGAAUGGCCUAGCGGAAGAAUUGCGUUAAAAAUAUAAACAUACAUAACAAAAUUAAUUUUAAUAACUUGCAUGACUAACAUAAAACAGCUGAAUUUUUUUAAAACAUAAAAUGUGUCAAUAUAUAUAUAUAUAUAUAUUAAAAAAUACAUAUAUAUAUGUAUAUAUAAUAUAUAAUAAUUAUUAAAAGUAAAAAGCGUCCGAGUUUAUUUUGAUAAGUAAACCCUGUGGAUUUACCAUUAUUAUUAUUAUUAACAUUUAACAAAUUAAAAUUGUUUAAAUUAUUAUUUGCAUUUAUUUUUGUUUUAUCAUUGUCUUCUUGUUUUAAUUGAUCAACUUGCGUAAGAAUUAGCUCAUUUUCUAUAUCUGUGUAUGUUAUAGGACAGUUUAUUUUUGCAUAAAAAAAGUAAUUCGUUACAUUGUAACCUUUUUCAUUUGUUAUUUCGAUUUUUAAGUUUUGGCUACUUGUUACUUUAUUACUUUGCGGAAUGUACAAACGCCUAAACAGUUAUUAAAAAAAAGGUAAAAAUAAAACAAAAUGGAAUAAAACA
rnacentral:lncRNA from 1 species